AAAAAAUACGAAAAAGGAAUCUGGGACAUUUAAGUUGGGCUUCUCCUACUUGGAUGAUUAUUUAGGUGCGCAUCGUAUUGUGCUCGGGUGUUGCAGUUUUCGUAACUGAGAUUUUGGAGAAGCUGGAGAAAGUAAUAAGCAAAAACUGAUUACGGAUAGUGAUCCAUGAUGAAAAGAGCUAUGGCUAGAAGGCCUGGUGCUUGCCUCAAGUUGAGCACAUUGAAGCGCCAAAUCCACUAUUUUCAGGGCCUUCCAUUGUUCUUCUACAUUCCAGAGCCUAAUUUCUUCAUCAAGAAAACUAAGGAAAUUGUUGCUUCUCUGCAAGUUUUUCC